rnacentral:rRNA from 1 species
UACGGGGGGGGCAAGCGUUGUUCGGAAUUACUGGGCGUAAAGGGCGCGUAGGCGGCACUGUUAGUCAGGCGUGAAAGUCCUGGGCUCAACCUGGGAACUGCGCUUGAUACGGCAGAGCUAGAGGAUGGAAGAGGGUCGCGGAAUUCCCAGUGUAGAGGUGAAAUUCGUAGAUAUUGGGAGGAACACCGGUGGCGAAGGCGGCGACCUGGUCCAUUACUGACGCUGAGGCGCGACAGCGUGGGGAGCAAACAGG